AUUGAACGCUGGCGGCAGGCCUAACACAUGCAAGUCGAGCGGAUGAAGGGAGCUUGCUCCUGGAUUCAGCGGCGGACGGGUGAGUAAUGCCUAGGAAUCUGCCUGGUAGUGGGGGAUAACGUCCGGAAACGGGCGCUAAUACCGCAUACGUCCUGAGGGAGAAAGUGGGGGAUCUUCGGACCUCACGCUAUCAGAUGAGCCUAGGUCGGAUUAGCUAGUUGGUGGGGUAAAGGCCUACCAAGGCGACGAUCCGUAACUGGUCUGAGAGGAUGAUCAGUCACACUGAAACUGAGACACGGCCCAGACUCCUACGGGAGGAAGCAGGGGGGAAUAUUGGACAAGGGGCGAAAGCCUGAUCCAGCCAGGCCGGGUGUGUAAAGAAGGUCUUCGGAUUGAAAAGCAUUUUAAGUUGGGAGAAAGGGAAGUAAGUUAAUCCCUUCCUGUUUUGACGUUACCAACAAAAAAAACCCCGGCAAACUUCGUG
rnacentral:rRNA from 1 species